rnacentral:lncRNA from 1 species
GCUCCUGAGUGGUGGUGCCAGGAUUAUUUUCCUGGAGAAAGAGCUGCGGAGAUAACUAGGAGCGCAGAUAAGAUCUGACUUUCCUCGCGGCACCUGCAGCCCCGCUCGCUCGGGGGCCGUCCCUAGCCCCAAGUGACCCGGCUUUCCUGGGUUUGAGGGUAAAGCCGGGUCCGUGGCAACCUUAACCCUUGCUUCUCACGGGGGCGCUCUUCAUACCCUUCUUUCUUUCCUUUGCCUAUCAACUUACCAGCUGGAAAACUAUGCCAAGUUACCCCUUGGCGAGGCCGCAGGGUGAACACUUAGACCUGUACCCACUUCCAGGGCUCGGUAAAGACAAUGAACUUGAAUAAUAACACUGAGCCUUACAUAUUUCUGACCCCAGUGCUCCUUCACAGGCACGAAAUAGAGACAGCUGGCACGGUUACAGGGGCUUUCAGGAAAACAAAGUAGCUUAAAACACCUUUUAGAAACGAACGCAGGCCGUGACAAGUCUAUUUAAAGCUGGGACUCCUGAGUUUCUAUAGACCAAGAAGGAUGGCUGUUGAGGAAGUUCCAA